rnacentral:rRNA from 1 species
AGUCGAGGGGCAGCAUUUCAGUUUGCUUGCAAACUGGAGAUGGCGACCGGCGCACGGGUGAGUAACACGUAUCCAACCUGCCGAUAACUCGGGGAUAGCCUUUCGAAAGAAAGAUUAAUACCCGAUGGNAUAAUCAGACCGCAUGGUCUNAUUAUUAAAGAAUUUCGGUUAUCGAUGGGGAUGCGUUCCAUUAGGCAGUUGGUGAGGUAACGGCUCACCAAACCUUCGAUGGAUAGGGGUUCUGAGAGGAAGGUCCCCCACAUUGGAACUGAGACACGGUCCAAACUCCUACGGGAGGCAGCAGUGAGGAAUAUUGGUCAAUGGGCGCAGGCCUGAACCAGCCAAGUAGCGUGAAGGAUGACUGCCCUAUGGGUUGUAAACUUCUUUUAUAUGGGAAUAAAGUUUUCCACGUGUGGAAUUUUGUAUGUACCAUAUGAAUAAGGAUCGGCUAACUCCGUGCCAGCAGCCGCGGUAAUACGGAGGAUCCGAGCGUUAUCCGGAUUUAUUGGGUUUAAAGGGAGCGUAGGUGGACAGUUAAGUCAGUUGUGAAAGUUUGCGGCUCAACCGUAAAAUUGCAGUUGAUACUGGCUGUCUUGAGUACAGUAGAGGUGGGCGGAAUUCGUGGUGUAGCGGUGAAAUGCUUAGAUAUCACGAAGAACUCCGAUUGCGAAGGCAGCUCACUGGACUGCAACUGACACUGAUGCUCGAAAGUGUGGGUAUCAAACAGGAUUAGAUACCCUGGUAGUCCACACAGUAAACGAUGAAUACUCGCUGUUUGCGAUAUACAGUAAGCGGCCAAGCGAAAGCAUUAAGUAUUCCACCUGGGGAGUACGCCGGCAACGGUGAAACUCAAAGGAAUUGACGGGGGCCCGCACAAGCGGAGGAACAUGUGGUUUAAUUCGAUGAUACGCGAGGAACCUUACCCGGGCUUAAAUUGCAUUUGAAUANUNUGGAAACAGNNUAGCCGNAAGGCAAAUGUGAAGGUGCUGCAUGGUUGUCGUCAGCUCGUGCCGUGAGGUGUCGGCUUAAGUGCCAUAACGAGCGCAACCCUUAUCUUUAGUUACUAACAGGUCAUGCUGAGGACUCUAGAGAGACUGCCGUCGUAAGAUGUGAGGAAGGUGGGGAUGACGUCAAAUCAGCACGGCCCUUACGUCCGGGGCUACACACGUGUUACAAUGGGGGGUACAGAAGGCAGCUACCUGGUGACAGGAUGCUAAUCCCAAAAGCCUCUCUCAGUUCGGAUCGAAGUCUGCAACCCGACUUCGUGAAGCUGGAUUCGCUAGUAAUCGCGCAUCAGCCAUGGCGCGGUGAAUACGUUCCCGGGCCUUGUACACACCGCCCGUCAAGCCAUGAAAGCCGGGGGUACCUGAAGUACGUAACCGCAAGGAGCUCCUAGG